GUGAAUGUUGACUAUCUCCCUGAAGGUGAUUUAGCCUUCUUUUAAAAGGUGUCGUUCGCUAGUAUCACUGCGGAUGAUAAGUUGUUCACCAGAGACAUCACCUUUAGAUAUCCUACUGUAACAAGUAUUACCGUUGUACGUAUCUUUACUGGCGUUGUGAGGGACGAACUUUUAGACACUUUCUAAACCAAUUUGCAUCAUAUGAUUUCAUUUGGAAUGGCUCUAAGGAGGAAAUUUAAGUACUCGUUGAGAUGAAAACUAAGUAUAAAAACCCGAAACGGAAUGUUUUACAUCCAGUUUCGCAACUACAUUUGUCCAUGAUGGGGCCUGACAGCAAGAAGUUACAAAGUGAGAAAAACAACGACCAAAUUGGCGAAAGGAAGAAAAUCUGCAAUUCCGGGAAAACAAGUGCUGUUAAAUUGCGUCUAUAACUUGGACGGAUGCCAGAACCGAAAAGUUGUGCUCAGUUUUGAUCCUUCAUCAUUUUUCAUCUUCAUGGCCGGUUUCCAGUAUCGACAAAUUAUUUAGGAUGGUGUGAAAUUUUCAGCUAUGUAAACAAGCUUAAAGAGGAAACUGAAGCCUUUUUACCGAAAAAUCAGCUUGAGCUUUCGAAAAACACAAAAUUUUAGUGGGUGAGGGCAUCUUACGUUCAUAUUAAUUAUUCCAGACUCUUUUAUGAAAUUCUAAUAUUUUUUUUAGCGCUAAGGUACUGUUUAGA